rnacentral:rRNA from 1 species
UUGCCCUAGUAACGGCGAGUGAAGCGGCAACAGCUCAAAUUUGAAAUCUGGCGUCUUCGGCGUCCGAGUUGUAAUUUGCAGAGGGCGCUUUGGCAUUGGCAGCGGUCCAAGUUCCUUGGAACAGGACGUCACAGAGGGUGAGAAUCCCGUACGUGGUCGCUAGCCUUUACCGUGUAAAGCCCCUUCGACGAGUCGAGUUGUUUGGGAAUGCAGCUCUAAAUGGGAGGUAAAUUUCUUCUAAAGCUAAAUACUGGCCAGAGACCGAUAGCGCACAAGUAGAGUGAUCGAAAGAUGAAAAGCACUUUGGAAAGAGAGUUAAAAAGCACGUGAAAUUGUUGAAAGGGAAGCGCUUGCAGCCAGACUUGCCUGUAGUUGCUCAUCCGGGUUUCUACCCGGUGCACUCUUCUAUAGGCAGGCCAGCAUCAGUUUGGGCGGUUGGAUAAAGGUCUCUGUCAUGUACCUCCUUUCGGGGAGAACUUAUAGGGGAGACGACAUGCAACCAGCCCGGACUGAGGUCCGCGCAUCUGCUAGGAUGCUGGCGUAAUGGCUGUAAGCGGCCCGUCUUGAAACACGGACCAAGGAGUCUAACAUCUAUGCGAGUGUUUGGGUGUCAAGCCCGAACGCGUAAUGAAAGUGAACGGAGGUGGGAACCUUUCGGGGUGCACCAUCGACCGAUCCUGAUGUCUUCGGAUGGAUUUGAGUAAGAGCAUAGCUGUUGGGACCCGAAAGAUGGUGAACUAUGCUUGAAUAGGGUGAAGCCAGAGGAAACUCUGGUGGAGGCUCGCAGCGGUUCUGACGUGCAAAUCGAUCGUCAAAUUUGGGCAUAGGGGCGAAAGACUAAUCGA